UGGCUAUUUCGAGUAUGGAAGGACACGUGGCAGAACGCAUUGGAUAAGCGCUUGAAGACUUGGAGCACCAGAACACGUGGCAUAACAUGGUUCGCUGACGGGAACGCUGCACGGGUUCGACCGUGAUCUCGUUCUUACGUGAUCCUGCGCCUACAUUGGAGGAAUGAUUACGUGUGGCAAGGCACAGAGGAACCACGCUACAUUUCGCUUUCUGAUUGGUCCGUUAGUUGGUCAACGUGUUGAUGGAGAAAGUAUGUAGGAUUCACUGCAGCGAUUGAACCACAAAGCAGGAGCACAAGGCGACAGUACUCUCGCCCACACUCGAUCUUCUUCCUUAACUUCUCACUGCUCUCUAACUGUUCAUGUGUUUUUGGCAGUACUUAUAGUGUUUUCAUAGUGUU
rnacentral:lncRNA from 1 species